rnacentral:rRNA from 1 species
AUUGAACGCUGGCGGCAGGCUUAACACAUGCAAGUCGAACGAGUGGCGGACGGGUGAGUAAUGUCUGGGAAACUGCCUGAUGGAGGGGGAUAACUACUGGAAACGGUAGCUAAUACCGCAUACCAUCGGAUGUGCCCAGAUGGGAUUAGCUAGUAGGUGGGGUAAUGGCUCACCAAGGCGACGAUCCCUAGCUGGUCUGAGAGGAUGAUCAGCCACACUGGAACUGAGACACGGUCCAGACUCCUACGGGAGGCAGCAGUGGGGAAUAUUGGACAAUGGGCGCAAGCCUGAUGCAGCCAUGCCGCGUGUGUGAAGAAGGCCUUCGGAUUGUAAAGCACUUGCAGCGGGGAGGCGUUACUAGCAGAAGAAGCACCGGCUAACUCCGUGCCAGCAGCCGCGGUAAUUC